CUUUGUGCAAACCUGUCCCAUCUCAUGUGAGCUGGACUUGGUGACUAACUUCAGUCAAUAGAAUUAAACAGAAAUCACAUGCGUAAAAUAGAAACUAGGUCAUAAAAGUAGUAUGACAUCACCCGGAAUCUCUCUAUUGCUCUAGUUGUCAUGUCAAAAAACUACUUAGACAGACUAUGAAGAGAUACAUAGGGUGAGAAACGGAGGCCUUCAGCCAACAGCUGGGAGAAGCUGAGUCCCAUCAGCCAUUCAAAAGACUGCAGCCCCAGCCAAGAGUUUGAUGUAACCUCAGGAGAGACCCUGAGCCAGAACCACCUAGGCCAACGAGCUAUACCUAGUGAUUCCAAAGUCCACAUAUAUUUACUCUGUUCUCACUGUACAAAGUAACCACUCUGAAGUCAAAAAAGCUGGGAUACAUGAAGACUGCCAUCCCUUGAGUCACUUGCCCUGUAGCUGCCACUGUUGGAAAAGGGCUUGCUUCUGUGUCCUUGUGCCCACUUUGAAAAUCCCUGGGAAGUCCUUGGAGUCAGAUGAGCAGGCCUCCGCCACUCUGCCAAAAAGUCUGUUCAAUCAGGAGUCCCCAACCCCUGAGCCAUGGACUGAUAUGGAGCUAUGGUCUGUUAGGAACUGGGCUGCCCAGGAGGAGCAAUGGUGCUUCUACAAUUUCCUUAUAGGAGGAGUGAAGAGUAAGCAUUUGGAUUGGACCAGGAUUUGGAGAACUU
rnacentral:lncRNA from 10 species